rnacentral:rRNA from 1 species
AAGUGGAUUAGUGGCGCACGGGUGAGUAACGCAUAGGUAAUGUGCCCCAUAGUCUGGGAUAGCCACUGGAAACGGUGAUUAAUACUGGAUACUCCCUACGGGGGAAAGUUGGCUUUCAAUAAAGAAUUCAUUUAUUAUUAGUUUUUUUGUGUUCUUAGCACAAAAUUCUAGUAUUUGGAAUGAGAAAUUGAUGUUGUGAAGCAAUUUGUGCGGAGACUAGACUUAGUGUCUGUCGCACAAACAAAUUGCAAACUCAUCAAUUUAUCGUCCAAAGACGAAUUUUUUAUUGAAAGCCUUCGCUAUGGGAUCAGCCUAUGUCCUAUCAGCUUGUUGGUGAGGUAAUGGCUCACCAAGGCUAUGACGGGUAUCCGGCCUGAGAGGGUGAUCGGACACACUGGAACUGAGACACGGUCCAGACUCCUACGGGAGGCAGCAGUAGGGAAUAUUGCUCAAUGGGGGAAACCCUGAAGCAGCAACGCCGCGUGGAGGAUGAAGGUUUUAGGAUUGUAAACUCCUUUUGUGAGAGAAGAUU